UACGAAGGGGGCUAGCGUUGUUCGGAAUUACUGGGCGUAAAGGGCGCGUAGGCGGGUACUUCAAGGUCAGGCGUGAAAGCCCCGGCUCAACCUGGGAACCCGCUGCUUGAGACUGGAGACUAGAGUUUCGGGGAGAGGGAUGGUGGAAGUUCCCAGUGUGAGAGGUGGAAAUUACGUAGUAAUUGGGAAGAACACCUGAUGGAGCAGA
rnacentral:rRNA from 1 species